rnacentral:lncRNA from 1 species
UGCUGCUGGCCAUUCUUUCCUGUUUGGGCCCAAAAGAAGCCUGUCCUAAUUGACUAAAGAACUGCAUUGUUUGAGCCUCUUCUCAAUCUAUUUUUCAGCUUUGAGAAAUUGUAUACACCGAGUGUAUAUUAGUGUAUACUGAACGUAUUUUGGGCCUGAAUUCCUGUAUAUCCCUCUUUAGACCUGCACCCCUGUAUUUCACAUUUUUUGCCUAUAUAUCAAUAUUCAAUUAUUGUAUACAAGUGUAUACUGUUGUAUACAAUAGGUAUACAACCCCCUUUUGGGCUUUUGGAGGCUUGCACUUCAAUUUCUAGCAUGUAAGUUGCCUCCAUUUCACUCGAUCAAGAUGAAGCUGAUUCGAAGAAUCUCAACUCAGAAAAAUGAGAAAAAAGUGAGUCCAAAAGGACUUAGGUUGAUGCACAUACAAAGAAAAUGGAAGCAACAUUAGCCAAGUCGCAUGAAAUUAUUCUAACACAUAUACAAGAAAGCAUUUUAUUAAAUAUUUUCAAACAUAUCUGAACAAGAGUUUCUUAACACAGGGACAUGCAAAGGACACAUAUUUCAUUACCUCAAACAAUUGUGCUAUGAUAGAUUAAAAUUAUGAAGUAGCAACAUUCACGAGACUAAUCAGCAAAGCAUAAUUGGAAUCACAGCAAGAGGAAAUAAAAAAAAAUAAAAAAAGAAGCAAAUGGAUCAAAUUGUUGCCAAUAUUUACACGCCAACACUUAAGGAAAAGACCACUACAUAAAACAUAUGUUUAAAGGAGAGAAAUCACAAUAAACACAAAGCUAAUUAGAAUCAAGCCAUUCUGCAACUUUAAACAAAUAGAGACUAAUUGCUAUGUCAAUUAUUGAAAGCCAACAUUCUGUAACCUAAAGCAAAAAUGAGAUAUUAAAGCAUUAUUUAAUAUGAUAAGGGAACAAAAGAAAACACUAAUUUAAAUCAAUAUUUGUAUCCUAUUAAGCAGUGAAUGUCUCAUACUAAAAAUAAUAAUAAACAAAGAAAAGAGAAGUAACAAAACUUAAAUUAGCCAAAUUAUUAAUCCAUUUCAUACUUAGAACUUCACUAAUCUGGACAAAACUUCAAAAUUUUAAUAAAAUCAACACAAGCUUGGGUACAUAAUGGCAACUAUAUAGUCAGGAACAUGAUAAAGACUUUUGAGACAUGAUGAAACAGUGAUCCUAGAGAUCGAAUUCGAUACUUUAGAUGCGCAAAGGAGAAACUAAACCACAAUGAAAUCCAUAAUGGAUUAAAUGUAGAGUUGGGCCACUAAACAAUAAGAAAUGAAAUCAACAGAGAAAAUUACAACAGAAACAGUUCAGAACUGAACUCAAAUCUACGAACUAAACAACAUCUUGGCUAAGAUAGAUUAAGAUGCUAAAUGGAGUUUACCUUUUUAGGAGCAGCGACUGGGAAACGAGCUAAUCACGAAGAUCAUUCCACCACCGAAAUGCAACUCCAUGAAACAGCAAGAGUGUCGAGCUCGAAAUAGAAACCGACUUGAGUAUCUUCUACCUCACUUAUCAAUUUUUUGGAUCUAUUUUAGCCUCGAAAACCCUUUGUAUUUUCUCACGCCGUGUAUAAUUUAUGAGUAUCAACCCUAUUUUUCUCUAACCCCCCCCCCCCAAAAUAAUGAAAAAAUGAGACUAUUUAUAGAUGAAAUAAGGGCUGAAAAGGGGGAAUUCGGGAGGGAGAAAAGGGAUGAAAUUUAAAUUCAAAAUUCAAAUCCCUUCAGCUCGAAAUAGUACCAAUUCCAACGGAUUUAAAAGGAGAACCGUCCAAUUCGAGGAGCAACGACGGAUGAAGCACAAGAUGGAUACAUCUGGAUUAUUCUCCAACAAUCUCGGUACGAAUAGAUAAGGAGAGAGGAGAGGGACGC